AGACCAGAUUCCGAAUUCCCUUCACAAAACGGCGCAACACACUCGAGACUUCCUCUUCUUCUUCAUUUGUUUUCUCCAAACCAGAGAUCCUUAGACCAAAAAACCUCAAGCGCCGUUCUUCAUCAUCACCAAACAGACCUCUGUUCUCCAAACCAAAAACAACGGAACCUCACUCUCUCAUUCACUGACGCAAGCACAGGAAAGCUGAGAAGGAAUCUUUAAUUGUUAUACCCCAAUAUUUUAAAUGAGGACAUAUGGGGGAUUUAGUAAACAACUUAUAUUUGAAUUAAAAAAAAAAUAAUAAGAAUUUAAGACCAAAAAGGGCUGAAGCCCAUAACAAUACAUCUGCCCCAAAGAUUUUAAAAAGGGGUAAAUUAGGUCUUCAAUAAUAGAGAAAGAACAAAAAAAAGAAUAGAUCAGAAAAACUGAACUAACGUGAAGGAGCCCUAGAAAGAUUUACUGCGGCUAUCACAAUUGGAAGGAUUUUGGGGAGGAAAAAUCAUAACCAGAUUGAUUGGAGAAAGUUGUACGAAUUGCUCGAGGUGAAGCAUUUGGCAUUUCGGCACGAGUACUAGACAGCAGUUGACGGAGGCGAGGAUUUCGUUAAGUAGAGCGCACAGUUUGAGAAUUCUUGCUCCGCUGUUCGAUUUUGUUGCUGCUUCUGCCGAAACUGCUCUGCUGAGUUUCAUCUUGAAAGCUGUGCAAGUGAUAUAGUUUUGAGAUUUCACGAUUGUUGUCAAAGCUACAAGGUAUGUUGCAAAAUAUAUUUGGUGGCAGUCUUUAUGUAAAUAACAUCCUCGUUUUCAAAUCUCAUCUCCCAGGUUUAAUUUGUUGUUUGAAGUUUGUUAAUUAUGUUUGCCGUUUCAGCUGAUUGUGCUAAGUUUUCUUGAAAAUUUUCAGUUGUUAAAUUGAUGAAUAUGGUGCUUGUUUA